rnacentral:rRNA from 1 species
UACGUAGGGUGCAAGCGUUGUCCGGAAUUAUUGGGCGUAAAGGGCGCGUAGGCGGCUCGGCACGUCCGUUGUGAAAUCGCCCGGCUCAACUGGGCGGGGUCAGCGGAUACGGUCGAGCUUGAGCAAGCUAGGGGGCAAUGGAAUUCCCGGUGUAGUGGUGGAAUGCGUAGAUAUCGGGAGGAACACCUGUGGCGAAAGCGGCGCACUGGACCACAACUGACGCUGAGGCGCGAAAGCUAGGGGAGCAAACAGG